rnacentral:rRNA from 1 species
GAUGAACGCUAGCGGGAGGCUUAAUACAUGCAAGUCGAGCGGUAGAGCGAUUUCGGUUGCUCGAGAGCGGCGCACGGGUGAGUAACGCGUACGCAACUUACCUCCAAGCGGGGCAUAGCCCCGGGAAACUGGGAUUAAUACCCCAUAGUUUGCAUUGGCUGCAUGGUCAGUGCAAUAAAGUUGAGGCGCUUGGAGAUAGGCGUGCGUCUGAUUAGGUAGUUGGUAGGGUAACGGCCUACCAAGCCGACGAUCAGUAGGGGGCGUGAGAGCGUGGCCCCCCACACGGGUACUGAGACACGGACCCGACUCCUACGGGAGGCAGCAGUAAGGAAUAUUGGACAAUGGGCGCAAGCCUGAUCCAGCCAUCCCGCGUGCUUGAUGAAGGCCCUCUGGGUUGUAAAGAGCUUUAGUCUGGGAAGAAACCGUUUUCUGCGGAAGACGCUGACGGUACCAGAAGAAUAAGCACCGGCUAACUCCGUGCCAGCAGCCGCGGUAAUGUCGA